rnacentral:tRNA from 1 species
ACCUGGCUGGCUCAGUCAGUAGAGCAUGUGACUCUUGAUCCCAGGUUUGUGAGUUCAAGUCCCACGUUGGGUG